CCUACGGGCGGCAGCAGUGGGGAAUAUUGGACAAUGGGGGCAACCCUGAUCCAGCCAUGCCGCGUGUGUGAAGAAGGCCCUCGGGUUGUAAAGCACUUUCAGUGAGGAAGAACGCCUGGUGGUUAAUACCCAUCAGGAAAGACAUCACUCACAGAAGAAGCACCGGCUAACUCCGUGCCAGCAGCCGCGGUAAUACGGCGGGUGCGAGCGUUAAUCGGAAUUACUGGGCGUAAAGCGCGCGUAGGUGGCUUGAUAAGCCGGUUGUGAAAGCCCCGGGCUCAACCUGGGAACGGCAUCCGGAACUGUCAAGCUAGAGUGCAGGAGAGGAAGGUAGAAUUCCCGGUGUAGCGGUGAAAUGCGUAGAGAUCGGGAGGAAUACCAGUGGCGAAGGCGGCCUUCUGGACUGACACUGACACUGAGGUGCGAAAGCGUGGGUAGCAAACAGGAUUAGAUACACGUGUAGUC
rnacentral:rRNA from 1 species